GAUGAACGCUGGCGGCGUGCCUAAUACACGCAAGUCGAGCGAACAGACGAGGAGCUUGCUCCUCUGACGUUAGCGGCGGACGGGUGAGUAACACGUGGAUAACCUACCUAUAAGACUGGGAUAACUUCGGGAAACCGGAGCUAAUACCGGAUAAUAUAUUGAACCGCAUGGUUCAAUAGUGAAAGACGGUUUUGCUGUCACUUAUAGAUGGAUCCGCGCCGCAUUAGCUAGUCGGUAAGGUAACGGCUUACCAAGGCAACGAUGCGUAGCCGACCUGAGAGGGUGAUCGGCCACACUGGAACUGAGACACGGUCCAGACUCCUACGGGAGGCAGCAGUAGGGAAUCUUCCGCAAUGGGCGAAAGCCUGACGGAGCAACGCCGCGUGAGUGAUGAAGGUCUUCGGAUCGUAAAACUCUGUUAUUAGGGAAGAACAAAUGUGUAAGUAACUAUGCACGUCUUGACGGUACCUAAUCAGAAAGCCACGGCUAACUACGUG
rnacentral:rRNA from 1 species